rnacentral:rRNA from 1 species
CCGACAAGCGGUGGAGCAUGUGGUUAAUUCGAUGCAACGCGAAGAACCUUACCUACUCUUGACAUCCAGAGAAUUCGCUAGAGAUAGCUUAGUGCCUUCGGGAACUCUGAGACAGGUGCUGCAUGGCUGUCGUCAGCUCGUGUUGUGAAAUGUUGGGUUAAGUCCCGCAACGAGCGCAACCCUUAUCCUUUGUUGCCAGCGAGUAAUGUCGGGAGCUCAAAGGAGACUGCCGGUGAUAAACCGGAGGAAGGUGGGAUGACGUCAAGUCAUCAUGGCCCUUACGAGUAGGGCUACACACGUGCUACAAUGGCAUAUACAAAGAGAAGCGAACUCGCGAGAGCAAGCGGACCUCAUAAAGUAUGUCGUAGUCCGGAUUGGAGUCUGCAACUCGACUCCAUGAAGUCGGAAUCGCUAGUAAUCGUAGAUCAGAAUGCUACGGUGAAUACGUUCCCGGGCCUU